AGAUUGUGGUGUGGACACUUGAGAAACAACUCAUUGAAAUAUUCCCAUCCUUCAAAGAAAAUAUCUCCAUCUUUUUGUUAAAAAGUUUGAAUCUCCCUUCUAAAUUA